rnacentral:rRNA from 1 species
UCGAAUUGUGGCCUAUAGGUAGAUCACCAUCUGCGGCCCGGGUUAAUUCGUCUGGAAGGGCGAGUCAUAGAGGGUGAUAACCCCGUCUAUCCCUGGGUACCAAGGAGGUUGAGUGGUCUUUCCGUCGAGUCGUGUUGCUUGGGAGUGCAGCACUAAAUGGGUGGUGAAUUCCAUCUAAAGCUAAAUAUGGGCAAGAGACCGAUAGCGAACAAGUAC